rnacentral:rRNA from 1 species
UGGUAGGAGAGCGUUCUAAGGGCGUCGAAGCAUGAUCGCAAGGACAUGUGGAGCGCUUAGAAGUGAGAAUGCCGGUGUGAGUAGCGAAAGACGGGUGAGAAUCCCGUCCACCGAUUGACUAAGGUUUUCAGAGGAAGGCUCGUCCGCUCUGGGUUAGUCGGGUCCUAAGCUGAGGCCGACAGGCGUAGGCGAUGGAUAACAGGUUGAUAUUCCUGUACCACCUAGUAUCGUUUUAAUCGAUGGGGGGACGCAGU